GCGAUAACGGGCAGAAAUGGGUUUGGGUCUUUUUCCCAAAAAACGGAUGAUACGGAAAGAGACAGAAUCUACGCAAACCAAGAAAAACUCAACGUGGACAAUUUAAGAAGAGGAGAAAACCAAUGCAAAUGUCAAUACAAAAAAGUAAAAAAAAGAUACGCACACACAUAGUAAUAAGAGAGCAACUGAAAUCUUUGUUAGUUUUUUCCUAAGUAAAUGCAUAGAUAAAAAGAAAUAUUAUUGAACUAAAAAACAAGAAAUGAAAAAAAAUUGUCACGCCCAAGGAUUCUAUGUGAUGUUCAAGGACAUUCAAGGCAGCAAACUUCAGUUUUUCAUUUAGUUUUUUUCUCUUUUUUUCAUUUUUUCAGCCAGUGUUUUUUAGCCACUGGCGUUCUGUGUUUCUGCAACAGUCUGUGCUGCAUGAGGAGAGAAGAACUUGCAAUGCAGUGUUUUAGAUUGACUCAAAAAUCAUCACGCACUUGAGUGUGAGUGUGGAUGCAUGUGAGCGGGUGGUCAGUUUGUAAUCAAAAAUGUAUACACACACAUGCAUAUAUACAUAUAUAUUCACACACACACAUACACAAUUACACACACAUUAGGGUUUAGAGGAAACACCUCCAUACUGUCAUCCCCAUCGUCAAAGGUGGGACUUUUCUUACCUCACCUGGUGGUCACCUGACUUCUUUCAGCCAAUCAGGGAUUCUUCUUAAACUAACUGUUGCCGCCGCAGGGCAUAUUUUUAAAGGUUUUUUCUUAAAGGCAGCAGCCACUCUGGCUUAUGCUAACUGAUCCUCACUGCAAAGGCUUUUCCUGACAGUUUUAAACCUGGACUCAGACUACAACUGUCCACUGUAUACUUUUUUUCUGGAGAUUUGGGUUAUUACAAAAAAAAUGAGAGAGAAAUCAUGGUUUAAUAUAUCAUUUCUAAUGCUAAUUGUUCUGUUCUUUUGUUGAAAGGUUGAGGGAGGUGGCUUUGAGGAUGGGUGGGUCUUCAGGUUUUUUUUGUGAGUUUUUUUUUUGUGGAAAGAGUGAAUCAAACGCAGCUAAAAUGGCUACCGAUUUAAAAACAAACACGACUACUCCAUCUUUGUAAACAGAAUUGCCACUUUGCAUGAUGUGUUCAUAACGUGUAACAUCUUUUGUAGCAAACAUACAUGAGGAAAAAAAGACAGCUUCAGGAAGCCCACCUGUGGGCUAUUUGGGGACACUACAGAUUACUUUCAGAUAUACAGUAUAUAUAUAUUUACCCUCAGAUACUGUACUGUGGAGGGGUUUUUACAACAUUUAGGUUUCUAGUUUCGACCAGUCUUUGGUCCACUGAUACUGCUGAGGGACAGUUCAGGGAUGACCCUGAUAUACGGCAAUAUUUUAAAACGCAGGGUCUGCCCCUUUUUUAGUUAGUCCUGUUUGAAUUAUUUUUACACUCAUCGAAGAAGAGAAAAUAAAAAGAAAGUAUUUUGAAUAGCUGAGGGCUUUUUGUUUUUAAAAGGAUAAAAAGACGAGUAAAAACAGAUGAGAAAAUUAUGGAUAUAAUACUGAAAAAAAAUAACCAACUUCCUUUUUGUUAUUUAGACUAAACUAAUGUUUGAGUUCAUCCUUUCUCCAUGCUUCAUACUUUAAUGAAAUCAGAGCGUGUCUGGGUGGGCCUGUUCCUAAAAAUGGUUUCUCAUGUAUGUUUCCCCCCUUGUAUGACUGUAUGAGACCAUUCCCACAAUAUUUGUGGACUACCUGAUAAUUAACUUAUCAUUUUUGUGAACCUAAAUAAAUAUUGUAUGUCAACCUACUCGGGAGUGUGUGAGUGUUGGCACUGCAGUUGAUUGAAUAUGACAUUUUUCAUGACUGUGUGU
ensembl:lncRNA